GAUGAACGCUGGCGGCGUGCCUAAUACAUGCAAGUCGAGCGAACAGACGAGGAGCUUGCUCCUCUGACGUUAGCGGCGGACGGGUGAGUAACACGUGGAUAACCUACCUAUAAGACUGGGAUAACUUCGGGAAACCGGAGCUAAUACCGGAUAACAUGUUGAACCGCAUGGUUCAACAGUGAAAGACGGUCUUGCUGUCACUUAUAGAUGGAUCCGCGCCGCAUUAGCUAGUUGGUAAGGUAACGGCUUACCAAGGCAACGAUGCGUAGCCGACCUGAGAGGGUGAUCGGCCACACUGGAACUGAGACACGGUACAGACUCCUACGGGAGGCAGCAGUAGGGAAUCUUCCGCAAUGGGCGAAAGCCUGACGGAGCAACGCCGCGUGAGUGAAGAAGGUCUUCGGAUCGUAAAACUCUGUUAUUAGGGAAGAACAAAUGUGUAAGUAACUAUGCACGUCUUGACGGUACCUAAUCAGAAAGCCACGGCUAACUACGUG
rnacentral:rRNA from 1 species